rnacentral:rRNA from 1 species
CCUACGGGAGGCUGCAGUGGGGAAUAUUGCACAAUGGGGGAAACCCUGAUGCAGCGACGCCGCGUGAGUGAAGAAGUAUUUCGGUAUGUAAAGCUCUGUCAGCAGGGAAGAAAAUGACGGUACCUGCAAAGGAAGAACCGGCUAACUCCGUCCCAGCAGCCGCGGUAAUACGGGGGGUGCGAGCGUUAAUCGGAAUUACUGGGCGUAAAGCGCGAGUAGGCGGGAUGUCAAGUCAAGGGUGAAAACCACGCGCUCAACGUGGGAACUGCCGUUGAAACUGGCAAACUGGAGUGUGGGAGAGGAUAGUGGAAUUCCAGGUGUAGGAGUGAAAUCCGUAGAUAUCUGGAGGAACAUCAGUGGCGAAGGCGACUAGCUGGCACAUAACUGACGCUGAGGAGCGAAAGCGUGGGUAGCAAACAGGAUUAGAUACCCGUGUAGUC